CCAAUAGCGUAUACUAAAGUUGUUGCAGUUAAAAAGCUCGUAGUUGAAUUUCGGGGUUAGUAGGUUGGUCAUGCCUCUGGUAUGUACUGGUCUCACUGAUUCCUCCUUCCUGAUGAACCUUAAUGCCAUUAAUUUGGUGUUUUGGGGAAUUUGGACUGUUACUUUGAAAAAAUUAGAGUGUUUAAAGCAAGCUAACGCUUGAAUACAUUAGCAUGGAAUAAUGAAAUAGGACGUUCGAUCCUAUUUUGUUGGUUUCUAGGAUUGACGUAAUGAUUAAUAGGGAUAGUUGGGGGCAUUAGUAUUCAAUUGUCAGAGGUGAAAUUCUUGGAUUUAUUGAAGACUAACUACUGCGAAAGCAUUUGCCAAGGAUGUUUUCAUUAAUCAAGAACGAAAGUUAGGGGAUCGAAGACGAUCAGAUACCGUCGUAGUCUUAACCAUAAACUAUGCCGACUAGGGAUCGGAUGAUGUUAAUUUUUUAAUGACUCAUUCGGCGCCUUACG
rnacentral:rRNA from 1 species